rnacentral:lncRNA from 10 species
CCCGCCUCGGCCUCCCAAAGUGCUGGGAUUACAGGCGUGAGCCACCGCGCCCGGCCCCAAAACAAAUAAUUUUAAAAGAAACAAAAAUUUAAAAAACAACUAACAACCAGGAAUAACCCUCUCCUUUGAGAACCCCAAUACCACCUCACAAUACACAUAAUCAUGAGAAUCUGUAUUAAGGGUUUCUCACCCUUAAUACAGGAAGUUGCCAUACAAAAGGAAGUAUGCAGACGUCGCUCUGUGUCUCUUAAAGUUCCAACGUUUCCUUACUCAUAAAUGACAAAGAGUGCUCUUCAGAUUGACACAUCAGGUUGCAGCUCUUCUCUGCUUGAAAUCCCUCUGUAGCUUUUCAAGGUAGUGUCCCCUCCUUCGAAGGGAACAGCAGCUCCUUUGUGACCAGGAUCCAGCACACGUUUCGUCUCCUAUUUGUACUCUCCGGCUCUUGUGUGCUGGUCUUCUCCCUCCAGCUCCAGGGAAUGAUGUGCGUUUUCCUGGCAUUUGCCUUCUGCCUCUUUCCUGGAUCCGGGCUGUUUCCACUUCCUCCCCUCCCCACUCCCACGCCCCUGCCCAUCACCUACUCAUCCUGCAAGUCUGACCUGAAGCCCUGCCUCUUGUGCAAGAUCUCCGGACCCUCAGCAGAGACCUCCCUCCAUGCUCCUGUUGCAGGACUUUCCCUUAGUUCAGCUGCAAGAUCUCCGGACCCUCAGCAGACCUCCUUCCCUGUUCCUGUUACAGGACUUUCCCUUAGUUCAGCCAACCACGGGGUCCUUGUCCGUCCCACGGCCACGAAAAUGUAGGCUUGCAGACGGUUUGAAGGAGUCAAGCCCUCUGGAGAAGGCAAAAAUAAAGCAUGAGAAGGGAGAAGAGCAUGAAGGUUGGCUGUAUGGUUACGACAAAAAGCAAACAAACAACAACAAAAAUAAUAAAUCAUAUUGCCUGCAAGUGAGUCUACCAGGAAUUUUUGCUGCAUUUACAAUAUUUUUAGGAAGGAAAAAAAUAAGUACAGUACUAUGAUUUUUAUUUUACAGAUAGAAAACCU